rnacentral:lncRNA from 1 species
GCCGGGGCUCGCUCACGCUUCCUCCCACACUGAAGCCGCUUCCCCCAUCCCCGCCGCCAGCGUUUCCCCCGGUCCCUCCCUUCUUCAGAGGCUCCAGGCUUAAAACCUCUUUCCCCAGCUGUGACUCGAUUUUCCUGGCCUAUGUCUUUGCUUUUUUCUUUAUAAUUUGUUUAUUCCUGGUUUAUGUACAUUGGCGUGGUGACAUCUUGUUUAUAUUCUAACAAGUAAAGCUUGCCUGAAGAUCAGAGGGCGGGGCUAGCCAAUAGCUAACCACAGAGGUCUGCAGGUCUGUACAGACAGACAGGAAGUGAGAUGGCUGGGCCGAGAGAGGAAUAUGAGCUAGAGGAGACGGGGACUAGGCUUCUUCAGUCUGAGGACUUCAUAGAGUUUAGAGAUCCAGUGGAUGCUGCUCUGCUUCUCUGAUCUUUCAGCUUUCACCCACUAAUAUCUGACUCUGGGCUUUUAUUAUUAAGGCCUAUUAGGACUCCUGUUAUGGGGCUGGAGAGAUGGCUCAGGGGUUAAAAGCACUGACUGUUCUUCCAGAGGUUCUGAGUUCAAUUCCCAGCAACCACUUGGUGGCUCACAACCAUCCAUUAUGAGAUCUGGUGCCCACUUCUGGCACGCACUGUAUACAUGAUAAAUAAAUUAAUUAAAAAAAAAAAAAAAAAAAAAAAAAAAAUCAGGUGCUGGAGAGGUGGCUCAGGGUAAAGAGCACUGGCUGCUCUUCCAGAGAUCCUGAGUUCAAUUCCCAGCCCCCGUGCCGCUCACAACUGUCUGUGACUUCCAGGAGCUCCAACACCCUCUUCUGGCUUCCACAGGCAUCACACGUGUGUGUGUUGCACAGACAUAUAAGCAAAACAUCCACACAUAAAAAACAAACUAAUUAAAAAAUACAUCAGUCCCAACAAAUACUGGAAACUGAAAGCUGGCAGCUGUCUGGCUGGGAGCUGCUGUUCGGGGUCCUGCUGUCCAUGCAGCAGUGUCAGAAGGUCAUGAGUGAGCGUUGAGAGCUUGUCACCAGGCUACCUGCUGGUGUGGAAGGACCCUCAGGAGGGUGUCGGGAUACCUUGGAAGCUAGGGAGAGGGUGAAUCUGUACCCUUGGCACAGGCUUUC